AGGCAGCUACUGGAAUAUAUGUGACACAAAAACAGGGAAAUAAACCAAAAAAGAGAAAGAUGUGGGAUCUUGGACAAGGAGCUCCAAUAGAAGAAAGAAAGUCCAGGAUAAUGCAAAGGCAAUCCUAAGGCUGGGGCUUGCAGAUACCAUGCUGCCACUCCCUACUCCUGCGCCCACAGAAGACAUGCUGAUUGGACAAGACCCUCCUCCUACUGAGUCCAGAAUUCCAUGACUAAGCAAGGAAAAGGCCAUAGACAGCAACUGAGCAGAAACUUCAAGCUCCAUCUAGUGUAGAACUGAACACUUCCA
rnacentral:lncRNA from 1 species